UGAUUCUUGUUUAUAUAUAUAUAUAUAUGAUGACUGUUGCAUUUGGUGCAUCAUAUCAUGGCAGACAUGUCAACGAUCAAUUCUCCCUUGCGGCCAAGAGAGUUGUUGACCAGGGCCGCAUCCUCGACCACUCGACAGAGUGGUAACUAGAGUUGAUGCCGCUUGUCCUAUUGUGCCGCACUCGGCCACUUGCAGUUGGUGGUAGCUUGAGUUGUGAGUAGCAAGGACCCCCUUCGCUGUGUAGCUUGUUUGCUACUCAGUACCUGUCCAUCCGAUCACUCGAGAGAGUGGCGGCCAUUGGGUGGUACAGUUGUCAUUGAUCCGACCUCUCAACCAUACAGGGGUCGUGGUGCAAAGAGGUGGGCGUGGUGACCAUCCGUACAUACGAUGUUAUUAUUCUUGUUUUGACUACUGCUGUUUGCAUAUGUUGUUGUUGAUUACUCAUGCUAUUGUUGCUAGCUUAUGCUACUGUUGCUGACUUAUGCUGAUAUGCUUAUAUAUGUUGAGAUAUAUAUAUGUCUGUUGUGGGUGUUUAGACUGACUUACCUAUUGGAAGUUUGUAUAUACCUUACAUAUUUCCUCUGUCGUUAUGAGCAGUACUGUAGCAGAUUAGUUCUACUCCUGACCUUCUAUUACCUAGCCUAGGAUAUGGUUUCAGGUAGCAGUAAAUGAUUCAUGGAUGCUUGGAGAGAUGUCGGCUGCCAGUCCUGGGUCCUACAUCACACUUGAGGAUAGUUUUCUGUUUGGUUUUGUUAUUAUUUGGGUGGUAUGUUGAUUCUGAGAAUUUUGCUUUUCAAUAAGUCAAUGUGAAUUUUGGAGUCAAGUCUGGUGAUUGCAGGUAUUUUUGUUAGUGUCGUUGUUGGUCUUAUGUUCAUAUUGUUUUGUGUUUUCCACUGCGUUUACGAUGUUAUAUGUUUAGUUUCAGCCUUGUAGGUUUAUUAAAUUGCGUCGUUGUGUUUA